ensembl:lncRNA
GUUUGCUCAGCCCUGACAUUCCUCUAAUGUGUGAGGUGGAAUCCCAGAUUUAAAAGUAAACCUUGGGGCUUAAGUGUGCGUUGGUACCAGAGCAGGCCACUCAGUAGGGAACGCCGUUUAGGGCAUCCAUGCAUAAGAGGCAAAGGAGAGGGCACAGGUUAAAACUCUUUGCAAGAAAUGUGGGAAAGAAGACAGCCUUUUGCAAGUCAGCGUGAAACUGGAGUUUAAAGGAAGGCUGAACAAAUGGAAAGAAAAUGGAAAAAUAAACCGAAGGAGAUGCUUUAAAAAUACAGUGGGUAGGAAAGAAUCAGCACCUUUUAAAAUUAUCACAUUUUGUUGCUUUGCAGCCUGAAAUAAAGACGGACAGUUUUUGUUUUCCAACUGUAUGUACUCAGUGCAACUUAUAACACCCAAGAGAAAGAUAAAACACCAACAUGUCAGAAAAAAAAAACAAAAAAAUAAAAAUAAAAACUAGAAUCUCAGAGUUGAUAACUGGAUCACUCCCUUGUGUCAGUAUUUUGAUGAAGCACAUUUUGCUUUAAUUACAGCCUUUAUUCUGUUGGGAUUUGUCUCUGCUAACAUUGCAGUAUUUGCCCGCUCUCCUCUGCAGAACUGCUCAAGUUCAGUUCAAUCUGAUGGGGAGUGUUUGUGGACUGCAGUCUUCAGUUCAUUCCUCAGAUGUUCAGUGGGGUUUCAGUCUGAGCUCUGACGAGACCAUGGAAGACAUUCAGCUUCUUCUCCUUCAACCACUGUGUGUUAGUUUUGCUGUGUGCUUUGGGUCAUUCUCAUGUUGGAAGUGCUCCAGUCGCUGCUGCAGAGAAACACCCAGAACAGGACAUCACCUCCUCAUGCUUUACUGCAGGAAUGCUGUUAUCUGGAUGCUGAGCUGGACUGGAUCUCCACCAGACAUAUCAGUUGGUGUUUAGGCCAAAUAAUUCAGUUUUAGUCUCAUCUGCCUCAGAAUCUUCAAGGUGUGUUUUGGCAAAGCUCAGUCUGACUGUACGUGGUCUUUCUUGAGGAGCGGCUUUUUUCUAUUUAAGCCACAUUUGUGGAGAAUCUGUGAUGUUGUUGUCUCAUGCACACAAUGAUCACUCUUGUUAUAAACUCC